rnacentral:rRNA from 2 species
UGGCUCAGAACGAACGCUGGCGGCGUGCCUAACACAUGCAAGUCGAGCGCCGUAGCAAUACAGAGCGGCAGACGGGAGAGUAACACGUGGGAACGUACCCUUUGGUUCGGAACAACCCAGGGAAACUUGGGCUAAUACCGGAUAAGCCCUUACGGGGAAAGAUUCAUCGCCGAAGGAUCGGCCCGCGUCUGAUUAGCUAGUUGGUGGGGUAAUGGCCCACCAAGGCGACGAUCAGUAGCUGGUCUGAGAGGAUGACCAGCCACACUGGGACUGAGACACGGGACAGACUCCUACGGGAUUGCAGCAGUGGGG